rnacentral:rRNA from 1 species
GGGCCCGCACAAGCGGUGGAGCAUGUGGUUUAAUUCGAUGAUACGCGAGGAACCUUACCAGGGCUUAAAUGUAAGUUGCAUAAACUAGAGAUAGUUUUUUCUUCGGACACUUACAAGGUGCUGCAUGGUUGUCGUCAGCUCGUGCCGUGAGGUGUCAGGUUAAGUCCUAUAACGAGCGCAACCCCUAUCGUUAGUUGCCAACAGGUUAAGCUGGGAACUCUAACGGAACUGCCGGUGCAAACCGUGAGGAAGGUGGGGACGACGUCAAAUCAUCACGGCCCUUACGUCCUGGCCACACACGUGCUACAAUGGUAGGUACAGAGGGAAGCCACCCCGCGAGGGGGGAG